rnacentral:rRNA from 1 species
UACGUAGGGUGCAAGCGUUGUCCGGAAUUAUUGGGCGUAAAGAGCUCGUAGGCGGUCUGUCGCGUCUGCUGUGAAAACUCAGGGCUUAACCCUGAGCUUGCAGUGGGUACGGGCAGACUAGAGUGUGGUAGGGGAGACUGGAAUUCCUGGUGUAGCGGUGAAAUGCGCAGAUAUCAGGAGGAACACCGGUGGCGAAGGCGGGUCUCUGGGACGUAACUGACGCUGAGGAGCGAAAGCAUGGGGAGCGAGCAGG